CCUACGGGCGGCUGCAGUGGGGAAUUUUACGCAAUGGGGGAAACCCUGACGUAGCGACACCGCGUGAGCGAAGAAGCCCUUUGGGGUGUAAAGCUCUGUCAGCUGGAACGAAAAAAAUGACGGUACCAGCAGAGGAAGCAUCGGCUAACUACGUGCCAGCAGCCGCGGUAAGACGUAGGAUGCAAGCGUUGUCCGGAUUUAUUGGGCGUAAAGAGUUCGUAGGCGGUUUGUUAAGUCUGAUGUUAAAGACUGGGGCUCAACCUCGGGAGUGCAUUGGAUACUGGCAGACUAGAGUAUGGUAGAGGCAAGCGGAAUUCCCAGUGUAGCGGUGAAAUGCGUAGAUAUUGGGAAGAACACCGGUGGCGUAGGCGGCUUGCUGGGCCAUAACUGACACUGAGGAACGAAAGCCAGGGGAGCGAAUGGGAUUAGAUACCCCGGUAGUC
rnacentral:rRNA from 1 species